rnacentral:rRNA from 1 species
ACGGAGCUGUUUUCUCUGAAGUUUUCGGAUGGAAGAGAGUUCAGCUUAGUGGCGAACGGGUGAGUAACACGUGAGCAACCUGCCUUUCAGUGGGGGACAACAUUUGGAAACGAAUGCUAAUACCGCAUAAGACCACAGUGUCGCAUGGCACAGGGGUCAAAGGAUUUAUCCGCUGAAAGAUGGGCUCGCGUCCGAUUAGCUAGAUGGUGAGGUAACGGCCCACCAUGGCGACGAUCGGUAGCCGGACUGAGAGGUUGAACGGCCACAUUGGGACUGAGACACGGCCCAGACUCCUACGGGAGGCAGCAGUGGGGAAUAUUGCACAAUGGGGGAAACCCUGAUGCAGCGACGCCGCGUGGAGGAAGAAGGUCUUCGGAUUGUAAACUCCUGUCCCAGGGGACGAUAAUGACGGUACCCUGGGAGGAAGCACCGGCUAACUACGUGCCAGCAGCCGCGGUAAAACGUAGGGUGCAAGCGUUGUCCGGAAUUACUGGGUGUAAAGGGAGCGCAGGCGGAUUGGCAAGUUGGGAGUGAAAUCUAUGGGCUCAACCCAUAAAUUGCUUUCAAAACUGUCAGUCUUGAGUGGUGUAGAGGUAGGCGGAAUUCCCGGUGUAGCGGUGGAAUGCGUAGAUAUCGGGAGGAACACCAGUGGCGAAGGCGGCCUACUGGGCACUAACUGACGCUGAGGCUCGAAAGCAUGGGUAGCAAACAGGAUUAGAUACCCUGGUAGUCCAUGCCGUAAACGAU